AUGCCCGAAUCCGACGGGCUCGGCCGUGACCUCGGUGUACAGAACGGAACACUCUUUGUUUUUCCUGCGACUUGCCGUCAAUGUUCACUUGUCGACACGCUCUUGACUUUGUACACACGCAAAGCCAAUAAAGACGUCCAAUCUCGGCUCCGCUCGCUUCCUCGGCUUCAGCGAGAAGGAAGAAAGUGCAAGUGUGGAGAUGUGUGUGCGGGUUUCAUAAGCAGCUUAAUGCGUUUGUAUAAAUCCAGCUGGCUCGGGCGGAUCAUCAGUCUUCAUCAGUCGUCUUCAUCAUCAUCAUCGUCAUCAUCAGAGUGUCUUGCAGGUGCGCUCGCCAUGAGUCCCAAACGGGUCGUUUUCAAGAAAGUCUCCCGAGACAAGUCGGUGACCGUCUACCUGCCCAGCAGAGACUUCGUGGACCACUGCGACCAUGUGGAUCCAGUUGACGGCGUGAUUGUCGUCGACCCUUCGCAGCUGAGAGCAAAACGAGUCUACGUGAUGUUGUCGUGCACCUUCCAAUACGGCCGUCAAGACGUGGAUGUGAUGGGCGUGGCCUUCAGGCGCGACCUGUUCGUGGUGACCCGUCAGGUUUUCCCGGAGCUACAGGACAAGGAGCAGCUGACGCACAGCAAAAUUCAGGAAAAGUUGCUGAGAAAACUGGACCGCAACGCCUUCCCUUUCUUCCUGGAGUUUCCAGACAACCUGCCCAACUCGGUCACGCUGCAGCCUGGACCUUCAGACGUUGGAAAGAAAUGUGCCGUGGAGUUUGAGGUGAAAGUUUUCUGUGCAGACUGUCGAGACGACAAAAUGGCCAAAGAGAGUUCGGUUCGUCUUGGCAUUCGGAAGAUCCAGUACAGUCCACGGGACGUUGAGGUGUCACCGGUCGCAGACACCACGUUUGACUUCCUGAUGUCGGACAAACCUCUUCACGUCAAACUGAGUCUGCCCAAAGAGACGUUCUACCACGGCGAGCCGGUCCAGGCCGGCGUGGAGAUCACAAACCGCUCCAACAGGAACGUGAAGGACAUCAGCUUGUCAGUGGCGCAGGUGACCAACGUCAUCCUCUACUCCAACGACAAGUACGUCAAGUCCGUGGCCAAAGAGGAAACGUGUGACGGCGUGGCGUCGGGAUCGAGCUUGGCAAAGUCGUACGCCUUGUACCCGCGUCUGGAGCACAACAAGGAACGUCGAGGACUGGCUCUGGACGGGAGCCUCAAGCACCGAGACACCAACCUGGCUUCUUCCAGCAUGGUGAAGCGGGAGGUGCUGAAGGAGCUCCAAGGCAUGUUGGUGUCUUACAAGCUGCUGCUCAAGAUGACGGCUGCAGGACCUCUGGGAUCCAGCGAGGUGUGUGUGGAGCUUCCUUUCAGAUUGAUGCAUCCUAAACCUGAAGCGGGUACGUGCUGUCAUCUCCCAUCACCAUGACAACCACUGACCUUGCGUGCGUGUUAAUCUGAUUACUUAUUGCGCUGUCAGCGUGAGGUCAUUAAGGUCAGUAAUGUGAUUAAGGCGUGUUUGUCCUGCAAGAAAUGCUGACUCAUCACUAAGUCACCUUUGAAAGUCUUUGAGAAAUAUUUGACAAACGAAUACAAAUAAAUAUGAUUGUUCCAAAUUAUUGCGCUGCCUGAAACGAUAUGUCUCGUCGUCGUCGUCAUUGUCUCGAAUUGCGCUGCUUCUUAUUGGACGAGAGCAGGCCGACGUGUUCCGAGUCCAAUGCGGCGGUUUAUUUUUCUGGGGCCGUUUCUGAUAUUUGGCAGGAUAAAAUUCCAAACGCUGAUGAAUCUCAAAAAUAUACAAGAGUAAAGAUGUUUUGUCCAUUUGUAUAUGUUUUAAGUUUACAACAGGGGGAAAAAAAGAAAUCACAUUUUUUAAAAUUGUUUAUUUACUUUUUUUUGUCAUUAUCUUCAUCUUGUUUUAACGUGUAAAAUUAAAAAAUAAAAUACAUUUUGCAAUCAUAAUUUAACCCACAAAUGCUCAUGUACGAAGUAAAUUGAAAAAGACGCAAACGAAUGACAUUUUCCCUUUAAUUAUUGUUUGUUUUAAUAAGUUUUAUAUAUGUCAAAUGUUUCUUUUAUUUUAUCAGCAAAACAUUUUUUUAUUUUUAUUUUUUUAAAUUUUAUUUUGAACCUCGGAAGGCCGUUAAGAUUGUGAAAAUCAUUUAAAUGCAUCGUCACCUCAUUUUUAUUCCACAGACACAAUUAAUUAAUUGUGACCAUAUAUGUUUAACAAGACCUCUGCUAUUAACUGCGGAAGGUCACGUGACCAAACCCGGAAUCUUGUUUAAAAAAAAAAAAAAAAAAGACAUCGCAGACGUUUAAAAUUCCUUGGAGGCUUUGUGAAGGCGUUCGAGCGCCGACCCGUUUCGCCCAAUGCGGAAGGAGUUGCGCGUGUGCUGGGCUCACUUUGAAAUGUGAAGUCAUGGAAAAUAGGGACAACGUCAUGUAAAUGCUAUCGUUCAAUUGAUGCUCAAAGGGGGUUUGGUGGGGAAAAAAUGCGAGUAAUGUCUGUAAAAAUGACACAUUUGUCUGCCAAAUUGAAAAGAAGAAACUCAUUUAGCAAGAAACGCACUUGAUGCUUUAAUGGGCCACAAGAAAUGAUGCGGUGGGCCAGAUCUGGUCCCCGGGCAACAAGUUUGACACCAGCUCUAAAAAUGUUCCGCCUUUUCUUUUUGUUCUUGCUUUCGGCCAAAGAAACACACGAGUCUGACGACAUCACCUUCGAGGAUUUCAAACGUUCUUUCCUUCGCGGCGUCAUCGGGGACGACGACGACCAGGACGACGCCUGAACUCCGCAGAGAACGACCUUUUCGACCACCGCGCAACCGUAGGCUACAGUUAACAAUAGCGCGACAUAAUAGUGAAAAGACAGCAAAAAGGUGCCGUUGGCCUGUCGUCACGGAGAGCAGAAAACCGGGUCCAAAUAAAGUCAAAUGAUCUGCAAAUGCUGAAACGCUAUUACGUGCAAGUUCACUCACUGUGUUUGAAUAUUUCCCUCCCAGUAAAAGAAAAAUGCUCACAUGA